GUCACCUACGGGACGCAGCAGUAGGGAAUCUUCCACAAUGGGCGAAAGCCUGAUGGAGCAACGCCGCGUGGGUGAAGAAGGUCUUCGGAUCGUAAAACCCUGUUGUUAGAGAAGAAAGUGCGUGAGAGUAACUGUUCACGUUUCGACGGUAUCUAACCAGAAAGCCAAGGCUAACUACGUGCCAGCAGUCGCGGUAAUACGUAGGUGGCAAGCGUUAUCCGGAUUUAUUGGGCGUACAGGGAACGCAGG
rnacentral:rRNA from 1 species